ensembl:snRNA U6 U6 spliceosomal RNA
UCUCACUGUGGUAGAAUGUGUUAAAAGUGGAAUGAGGCAGAGAUGACUGGAAUGGCCUCUGUGCAAAGGUGAUAUGAAACUGUCGAAGUGCCCCAUCUUUUU